AUGAAGCUGUUGCGCCGUGACGUCAAGCCUUGAUCUGACUAUGCAGAGCGGAGCGCGCGUGCUGUUGCUGCUGCUGAGAGAGAGAGCACAUGGAGGAGAGAGCACGAGCACUUAGCAGCAUUGCUAAUGUAGCCUGACUCGCAAAAAUAUUCAGAGAUGAGGAACAAUUAUAUGUGACAUUCAUACGGACUGAUUUGUUUGAGGCGUCUAACACGGUUUAAAUGCUCAGGAUGUAAGCAGCUUCACAAAUAAGAGACAUCUUCAGCAUCUGGGGGCUUGUUGUUUGAGUCUGAGAAAGCGCCCUGGUAUCAGUCGCUUACCCUGCCAUUGAAGAAUGCGGUGAAAAGGUUGUGAUAAGACUUUGCUGUGGGACGGCCUGACCUUCAGAGGAUUGGACUGAACUUGGACAGCAGUGAGGCAGGGAACACGAGGCACUUACCUGGGUACGUUGCCCUGCCAAACAUCAGGAGUCAUACCGGCAUUGGUGACAUCAAACUAUGAUGUCACUCGGACUGUUUAAUGAGUCAGAAGCUUGUUAAUAUGCAACCUGAUCUUAAAGGGUGAUUGUAUCGAAUGUAAUUGUUUUAAUAAAAAGGGGUGUUUUAACUGAGCCUGCAAAUUUAUUGUUUAAUUUCAUACUAAUUUGAGAAUGAAAAAUUGAAUAAACAAACAAGCAGUGGUAACUUUCACUUAAAGUUAAACUUACUGUGC